CUCUCUCCUUGGUGGCAGGGCAGCCUCAAUUCUCACCCCCAAUCCCAAAUCCUGGGGUGCCUGCCCAGGGGGAACAGGAGCUCUCUCUC
rnacentral:lncRNA from 1 species